UGCGCAGGCGGCCGUGUGUGUCAGGUGUGAAAUCCCGGGGCUCAACCCCGGAACUGCGCCUGAAACUACAUGGCUAGAGUAUUGGAGAGGGUAGCGGAAUUCACGGUGUAGCAGUGAAAUGCGUAGAUAUCGUGAGGAACACCAGAGGCGAAGGCGGCUACCUGGACAAUUACUGACGCUCAGGCACGAAAGCGUGGGGAGCAAAAGGGAUUAGAUACCCCUGUAGUCCACGCCCUAAACGGUGCACACUAGGUCUUGGCGGAUUCGACCCCCCCAGGGCCCAAGCUAACGCGUUAAGUGUGCCGCCUGAGGACUACGGCCGCAAGGCUAAA
rnacentral:rRNA from 1 species